UUCUGUGAAAAAAUUUUCCUGAUGUCCAGCCUGAACCUCCCCUGGUGCAGCUUGGUGCAGAGAUCACAUCGACCAAAGAUAGAAGCAGUGGAACGCCUUCUGGACCGGAAGCCCCAGAGACACCGGCCGUCUGUGGACCCUUGGUGGCUGGUCACGCCUCCCAGGAGAUGCCACAGCCCUGUUCUCCCUGAACCUGGAGCCAUCUCAGAGGUUUCCAAGAGUGGCCAAAUGACCCCAUCCUGAUUGGCCUUGGGGGAAAGAUUCCUUUCUGCACCUGCCAGGACACAAUUAGACUGGAGCCUGGAAUACACACAGAUGUUACUUUUUGCCCUGACAAGUUGUGGCAAUUUGUUUCUGCCAUCAUCUUCAAAGCCUGCACGACACAUUAUGGUGCUGCAGCCUGCGUGCUGCAGGGCAGCCCUGGCUAAGCCGUCCCCAGGAACUGUUUGCAAGUGAUCUUUCACUGAGGUACCCCUCGACUCCAUUGAAUGAUGCUAAGAGAGCACAAAAGCCUGCUCGUCUUUUACAUGACGUCCUUUCAUGUGGGCUCACACCUUUCUCUCAGAGAAGCACAGGGUAUAAAAGUAGAGGAAAAGCAUCUCAACUGAUAGAGCUGCUUCCUCUUUACCUUUAAGGAAUUACAUUUGACAGUCUCAAAGAAGAAAUGAGGCCCAAGAAGAUGCUGUGCUACUGUCAAACGUCUGCAUGUUGCUGUGAAGCUGUGGAGAAGUACCACUGACUGCAUAGGCUUUAGAAAUACCAUUGUUGGUGACACAUGGAAAAGAGGCAGGCAAAUGCAGCUCUCACAUCCAGUGCUGCCAGGGGGAUUACAAAGUCAGAGAUGCCCCUGGUAUUUCUACAAUA